GCCUUGGAUAACUAGAUGAAAUUGAUGCGCAAAUGGUAGGCACAAAUGAUUUGGAAGGAAAAAUAUAGCAGAGGUAAAAGGGGGGGUAUUUUACAAAUGGGGAGCAAUGCUGGAAGGAGGGAAGGCUCUGAGAGUAGGGAAGACAUUGGCCUCUGUCUGAGCAGUGAGAACUGCCAGUGUGCAUUAGAGAUCAAAAGCAAAUUGCAACAGUUUAGGCAAGAUAAACCCCAAAUUUGGAGAGCUUUGACUUGUAGGUAGAGGAGGUAAAUUUGCCCAAUUGGAAAAUGGAAACCUAUGGACUUCCUGAGGAUCUGGGACUAACUGAGAUGUCCAUAUGAUUUCAGACUCAGCCAUCCUCAGAACCCUGCUUGUUCUCCCAUUAUCCAAGUUCAUCCUCCCAGCCAAAUUUUUAAUCAGUGCAAAUGAAGUUCUAGAUCUGAGUCCCACAGCUCAAUAAUUUGAGAUUCCUCAAAUGUUGAGUAUGAGGCCAUAGUGGAAUGAAAAGCCCCCUCUCUCUUUGAGAAUGACCAAUAAGCUUUGGUUCACAUCAUGGGUGCAUUUAUACAUACAGCCAUUAUCUUUGGAAAAUGAAUGUUCUUUUCUAUUGAUUGAAUCUCACAGUGAAGUAAUGGACAGACAGUGGUGUGUUAAAGCCAGCGCAUGUGAGCCCAGUUUGUGCAUUUCUAUUGUGUUGCUAGCUUAAAAUCAUCCUUACUGGGAGUAUUCACUCCACA